rnacentral:rRNA from 1 species
UCAGCAGUGGAGAAUAUUGGUCAAUGGCCUAACGGCCGAACUGGCAACUUGAAAGAAUGGGAAGUUUGAAAAUAGAAAUAUAAGUAAAAUUUAAUUGAUUAAUCGAAUAAAAUUUUAAAUACAUUGAUAUAAUGACGAUAUGUAUAUACGGUCUUGACAAAAUACGUGCCAGCAGUCGCGGUAAUACGUAUGAGACUAGCGUUAUUCAUCUUAAAUAGGUUUAAAGGGUACUCAAACGGUCAGAUUAUCCUUUAAUAGGUAAUAUUUGUCUAGAGUUUUAUGUAAGAAGACAGUACUUAGAGUGGAGAGAUUAUAUUCUGUGAUACCAAAGGGACUGGCAACGGCGUAGGCAGUCUUUUAUGUAAAAACUGACGUUGAAGGACGAAGGCAUAGAUCGCAAACAGGAUUUGACACCCCAGUAGUCUUUGCAGACAAUGAUGAAUGCCGUAGAUUAGAUGAGAAUUUAGUCUAUCAAUGAAAAUAAAAGCAUUUCACCUCAAGAGUAAUGUGGCAACGCAGGAACUGAAAUCACUAGACCGUUUCUGACACCAGUAGUGAAGUAUGUUAUUUAAUUCAUUGAUCCGCAAUA